AAGUCGUAACAAGGUUUCCGUAGGUGAACCUGCGGAAGGAUCAUUAAAAGAGGAAAGCUCCCGGCGAAAGCUGGUUGCGACCUUAACCCUUGCUUAUUAUACCUUCGUUGCUUUGGCAGACGCCCGUGAGGGCCCGCGGCUUCGGCUGUGGCGCGCUGCCAGAGGAUCAAAACUCUUGUUUUUAGUGAUGUCUGAGAACUAUUAAAUAGUUAAAA
rnacentral:misc_RNA from 1 species